rnacentral:rRNA from 1 species
GAUGAACGCUGGCGGCGUGCCUAAUACAUGCAAGUCGAGCGAACAGACGAGGAGCUUGCUCCUCUGACGUUAGCGGCGGACGGGUGAGUAACACGUGGAUAACCUACCUAUAAGACUGGGAUAACUUCGGGAAACCGGAGCUAAUACCGGAUAAUAUAUUGAACCGCAUGGUUCAAUAGUGAAAGACGGUUUUGCUGUCACUUAUAGAUGGAUCCGCGCCGCAUUAGCUAGUUGGUAAGGUAACGGCUUACCAAGGCAACGAUGCGUAGCCGACCUGAGAGGGUGAUCGGCCACACUGGAACUGAGACACGGUCCAGACUCCUAAGGGAGGCAGCAGUAGGGAAUCUUCCGCAAUGGGGGAAAGCCUGACGGAGCAACGCCGCGUGAGUGAUGAAGGUCUUCGGAUCGUAAAACUCUGUUAUUAGGGAAGAACAAAUGUGUAAGUAACUAUGCACGUCUUGACGGUACCUAAUCAGAAAGCCACGGCUAACUACGUG